rnacentral:misc_RNA from 1 species
UUGCGGCUGGAUCCCCUCCUUUUGAGCAAAGACAGCAUCGUCCUGUCGGGCGUCUUCACAAGUAACCUGCAUUCAGAGUUUCACGUCGGCCUGGCCGGCGUGGAUAGUCCCGUAUAUGGGGCCUUAGCUCAGCUGGGAGAGCACCUGCUUUGCAAGCAGGGGGUCGUCGGUUCGAUCCCGACAGGCUCCACCACAGGCCGCGAGUUUAUCGACGCGGUCGCAAUGAGCUGAACGGACAUUGGGUCUGUAGCUCAGGUGGUUAGAGCGCACCCCUGAUAAGGGUGAGGUCGGUAGUUCGAGUCUACCCAGACCCACCACUCUGAAUGAUCAGCGCAUACAAAGAAUUUAUUACGGAUCGGCAUUGUGGCCGGUACGUGUUCUUUUAAAACUUGUGACGUAGCGAGCGUUUUGAGAUUCUAUCUUAGACGUGUCGUGAGGCUAAGGCGGAAGACUUAAAUGUCUUCUUAUUAAUUGAGUCGUUAUAUUUCGUAUCUGGGCUUUGUACCCCCAGGUCAUAUAUAUAACCCGAGGCAACUUGCGGUUAUAUGGUCAAGCGAAUAAGCGCACACGGUGGAUGCCUUGGCGGUCAGAGGCGAUGAAGGACGUGGCAGCCUGCGAAAA